ensembl:misc_RNA Metazoa_SRP Metazoan signal recognition particle RNA
GCCAGGCAUGGUGGCGGGUGCCUGUAAUCCCAGCUACUUGGGAGGCUGAAGCAGGAGAAUCGCUUGAACCUGGGAGGCCGAGGUUGCAGUGAGCCGAGAUUGUGCCACUGCACUCCAGCCUGGGUGACAGAGCGAGACUCCGUCUCAA